CUUGCUACUGAUCUUAGCGGCGGACGGGUGAGUAAUGCUUAGGAAUCUGCCUAUUAGUGGGGGACAACAUUUCGAAAGGAAUGCUAAAUACGUCCUACGGGAGAAAGCAGGGGAUCUUCGGACCUUGCGCUAAUAGAUGAGCCUAAGUCGGAUUAGCUAGUUGGUGGGGUAAAGGCCUACCAAGGCGACGAUCUGUAGCGGGUCUGAGAGGAUGAUCCGCCACACUGGGACUGAGACACGGCCCAGACUCCUACGGGAGGCAGCAGUGGGGAAUAUUGGACAAUGGGCGGAAGCCUGAUCCAGCCAUGCCGCGUGUGUGGCCUUAUGGUUGUAAAGCACUUUAAGCGAGGAGGAGGCUACUUUAGUUAAUACCUAGAGAUAGUGGACGUUACUCGCAGAAUAAGCACCGGCUAACUCUGUGCCAGCAGCCGCGGUAAUACAGAGGGUGCAAGCGUUAAUCGGAUUUACUGGGCGUAAAGCGCGCGUAGGCGGCUAAUUAAGUCAAAUGUGAAAUCCCCGAGCUUAACUUGGGAAUUGCAUUCGAUACUGGUUAGCUAGAGAGAGGAUGGUAGAAUUCCAGGUGUAGCGGUGAAAUGCGUAGAGAUCUGGAGGAAUACCGAUGGCGAAGGCAGCCAUCUGGCCUAACACUGACGCUGAGGUGCGAAAGCAUCAAACAGGAUUAGAUACCCUGGUAGUCCAUGCCGUAAACGAUGUCUACUAGCCGUUGGGGCCUUUGAGGCUUUAGUGGCGCAGCUAACGCGAUAAGUAGACCGCCUGGGGAGUACGGUCGCAAGACUAAAACUCAAAUGAAUUGACGGGGGCCCGCACAAGCGGUGGAGCAUGUGGUUUAAUUCGAUGCAACGCGAAGAACCUUACCUGGCCUUGACAUAGUAAGAACUUUCCAGAGAUGGGUGCCUUCGGGAACUUACAUACAGGUGCUGCAUGGCUGUCGUCAGCUCGUGUCGUGAGGGGUUAAGUCCCGCAACGAGCGCAACCCUUUUCCUUAUUUGCCAGCGAGUAAUGUCGGGAACUUUAAGGAUACUGCCAGUGACAAACUGGAGGAAGGCGGGGACGACGUCAAGUCAUCAUGGCCCUUACGGCCAGGGCUACACACGUGCUACAAUGGUCGGUACAAAGGGUUGCUACCUAGCGAUAGUAAUCUCAAAAAGCCGAUCGUAGUCCGGAUUGGAGUCUGCAACUCGACUCCAUGAAGUCGGAAUCGCUAGUAACGCGGAUCAGAAUGCCGCGGUGAAUACGUUCCCGGGCCUUGUACACACCGCCCGUCACACCAUGGGAGUUUGUUGCACAGUAGCUAGCCUAACUGCAAAGAGGGCGGUUACCACGGUUUCCGGGA
rnacentral:rRNA from 1 species